rnacentral:rRNA from 1 species
GUCCUUGCCUUAAACUAUGUAUACUUGGUGUAGAGAGGCUCAACCCUUUUUGUACCGUAGCUAACGCGAUAAGUAUACCGCCUGGGGAGUACGCUCGCAAGGGUAAAACUCAAAAGAAUUGACGGGGACCCGCACAAGCAGUGGAGCAUGUGGUUUAAUUCGAUGCAACGCGAAGAACCUUACCUGGACUUGACAUGCUUUUGACCGCUGUAGAAAUACAGUUUUCUCGCAAGAGACAGAAGCACAGGUGCUGCAUGGCUGUCGU